GAUGUAUAUCGUAUGUCUCUCUCUCUCUCUCUUUCUCUCUUUCUCUCUCUCUCUUUGGCUGCGAACAUUAAAGCGUUUUUACCAUAAAUACGUGCAUUUCGUAGUUAACUCGCUGAUAGUCUGGCUUACAUUGUCUAUCGUUUAUCUAUUCGUGUUAGUUCGGUGUGCUUUGCUUUGUUUUGUUUUGCUUUACGUUAAGAUGCCACAAUAUGUAAGUGCGCAUACGACGAGUUGAGUAUGAGUCAAACUCUCCGUCUUCCAAAAGCUUGCGGAUGUACUUUACAUGAUUUAAAACUUACCAUAAUAACGUUCAUUCCAGGUAUAGGUAUCGGUACUGGAACUUUUUUCACCACAGUUUGCACAUGUGUAUGAUGCUUGACCGGUAUGUGGAUUCGUAUUCUGCUCACCGUG